CCUAACCCUAACCUGGAAGUUGCUCUAAUCAGUUCAAAACUUCCUCAGGCCUUGUAUUGCACCUCUUGGAGUUUUUGUAACGUAUUUUCUUCACAGAGACAAGGCCAAAACUUGCAAAAAAGUACGUCCUGCCUACCUGCUAUGGCUGCCGAUACUUGAACGGUUCACAAGUUGAACCAGAUUGUGUUCUCGCCAGAUCUCGUCUCUAAGCGCAUUGGGUAGCUUCAAUAGUGAGUUCUGCUCACAAGGUUGAUGCGAAGGGGUUAGUCCCCACCUCCCAUGAGCAUUGACGAGGUUGAUCGUACGCCAUUAGCGGAGAGAAAUCGCGAGGUAGCUCCUUUUUCGGGUGAUGUCAAUUACCAUCAUUCGAGAAGGCUUUUGC
rnacentral:telomerase_RNA from 1 species